AAUUUAAAGUCUAAUCUGCCCACUGAUAUAAAUAUUAAAGGGCUGCAGUAUAUUGACUGUACAAAGGUAGCAUAAUCAUUAGUCUUUUAAUUGAAGACUUGUAUGAAAGAUUUGAUGAGAUAUAAUCUGUCUCUAUAUUAAUAAUAGAAAUUAAUUUUUUAGUUAAAAAGCUAAAAUAAUAUUAAAAGACGAGAAGACCCUAUAGAGUUUUAUAAUUUAUAUAAUUAAUAUAAAAUUUAUAAUUAAAUAUAUUAAUUAAUUAAAUUAUUGUGUUGGGGUGAUAAAAAAAUUUAAUAAACUUUUUUGAUAUAUUUACAUAAAUAAUUGAGUGAAUGAUCCAUUAUUAAUGAUUAAAAGAAAAAAUUACCUUAGGGAUAACAGCGUAAUAUUUUUUUUUAGUACAAAUAAGAAAAAAAGUUUGCGACCUCGAUGUUGGAUUAAGAUAAAAUUUAAAUGCAAAAGUUUAAAAUUUUGAUCUGUUCGAUCAUUAAAAUCUUACAUG
rnacentral:rRNA from 1 species